rnacentral:rRNA from 1 species
AUGGCAACUGAUUUUCAACCAGCAAUUAUCGAGACACCGAAGAAACCCACGGCUGUAUCCAUCAACCCAUGCAUGCACAAAAAUGCUAGACAUACAAGAUCGUACAGUGCCAUGCCAUUGCCACUCCACUUUAUAAACCCCCUACGGCUACGGCUACGGAUUCAUCGAUCGGCAAUGGCGAUCUCACUGCUCGUCCAGCUGCCCCAGCCGUGGCACUUCCUCCUCCUCCUAGCCGGCCUCCUCCUUGCCGUUGUCUCCUACCUGCUGGUGACGAGGCGCGACCCUGAGGAAAGAGGACUGAGGCUGCCGCCGGGUCCGUCGGGGGUGCCUGUGCUCGGCAACCUGCACCAGCUAGGCCCGCUGCCGCACCGAAGCCUGCGCGACCUGGCCGGGCGGCACGGCCCCGUCAUGCUCCUCCGCCUCGGCGCGGCGCGAGCGGUGGUGGUUUCCUCCGCGUCGGCGGCGCGCGACGUGAUGAGGGCCCACGACGCCGACUGCUGCAGCCGGCCCGCAUCGCCAGGACCCGCCCGCCUCUCCUACGGCCGCAAGAGCGUCGCCUUCUCGCCCUACGGCGCCUACUGGCGCGACAUGCGCAGGCUCCUCGCCGCCGAGCUCGUCGGAGCGCGCGGCGUCAGCGCCGCCUGGGCCGCGCGGCGGGAGCAGGUGGACAGGCUCAUGUCCGCCCUGCGCAACGCGGUGGUACCGGUGGCGUUGGACGAGCACGUGUUCCGCGUCGCUGACGGCAUCAUCGGCACGGUGGCGUACGGGAGCGUGUACGGCGCGGAGGCGUUCGCGCGCAAGUACGAGCGGUUCCAGCACGUGCUGUUCGAGGCCACGGACAUGUCGGCAAGCUUCUCGGCCGAGGACUUCUUCCCCAACGCCGCCGGCCGCCUCGUAGACCGGCUCGUCGGCGUCGUCGCGCGGCGGGAGAGGAUCUUCAGAGACCUGGACGGCUUCUUCGAGGAGAUGCUGGAGCAUCAUCAGGACCCGCGCGCCCCAAGCCGGAGAGCGGCAGCGGCGACCUCGUAG